UUUAUCGGAGAGUUUGAUCCUGGCUCAGGACGAACGCUGGCGGCGUGCCUAAUACAUGCAAGUCGAGCGGACAGAUGGGAGCUUGCUCCCUGAUGUUAGCGGCGGACGGGUGAGUAACACGUGGGUAACCUGCCUGUAAGACUGGGAUAACUCCGGGAAACCGGGGCUAAUACCAGAUGCUUGUUUGAACCGCAUGGUUCAAACAUAAAAGGUGGCUUCGGCUACCACUUACAGAUGGACCCGCGGCGCAUUAGCUAGUUGGUGAGGUAAUGGCUCACCAAGGCGACGAUGCGUAGCCGACCUGAGAGGGUGAUCGGCCACACUGGGACUGAGACACGGCCCAGACUCCUACGGGAGGCAGC
rnacentral:rRNA from 1 species